rnacentral:lncRNA from 1 species
UUUGGUUCCCAGCACCCACAUCCUGCAGCUUGACACCUGUAGCUCCGGUUUCAGGAGUCCAAUGACCUCUUAGCCUCCUUUGACAUCUGCAGUUACAUGCACAGUUACACACACACACACACACACACACACACACACACACACGUGUGUGUGACUAAAAGAAGCCUUGGGCUAGAGAGAUGGCUCAGCAGUUAGGAGUGCUUACCUUUCAUCCUUGCAGAGGACUGGCAUUUAGUUUCCAGCACCUGUAUAACAGCUCACAACCAGCUGUACCUCCAGUUCCAGGGCAUCUUAUGACCUCUUCUGGCCUCUGCCAGGUCCUGCAUACAUAUGAUGCAGGCUCACACAUAUACACAUAAAAUUAAAUCUUUCUUAUGAAAUGAAUCUGCACCAGAAAUAGUACAAUGAAUACAGUUCGCGAGCCUAAGGUCAUCAAGUGUACAUGUAGGGAGUUGAGGAGGUGUGCAGAAGAAGAGCAACUUUGGAAAAAAGCAGGCGAUCAGAGCCCACACUAGCAAAGGCCCAGAGCCCCUAAACACAAACUUUGAGCAAACAGGAGAAGGACCAGAGUAAGGGGCACAUGGAAGGCAAACAGCAGGAAAAUGGUCAGUUCUUUAAUAGAAAACCUAAAAUUAACAUAGCUUUCCUUUAUAAAAGAAAAAGUCAAUUAGUGUACAUUUUACUUGUCCCCCUAAGCCCACCGUGCAAGUGAAAUGCUAGUAGAAAUCCCCAUGCCCCUGAGCUGUGUAAGCGCAGGCUCCUCGGUGGCGUGCACCACCUUCCUGUCUGAGCCCUAGGCUUCGGGGAUAGUUCUCCACAUGCCCCUACUCUCUGUAAAGCCUUGGAUUCAGGCUCCCUUUCUGCUGACCACUCCGCUGCCCCUGUUGGAUAGCAGACUUUGAGUUGGAGUUGUUUUAUCCUUUCACAUUCUUGCUUUUCAUUUUUCACCUAAGUUAGAAAACAUUUCAAUUUCCUAAGCAAUUUACCACUCCAGGAACCCAGUCAAAAACUGCCAGAAAAGGAAAAAGCAGAAAACCAUGCUAAGCCACAGCUGUGCACAUGGGUACAUGCCACGUCUGCUCUUCCAGUUGUUAGGAUCUUUGUACAGCUUCUGGGGGAAGUGAUGGAGACAGACAUGAACAAGAUUCGGAAGACACAGGCAUUAAACCACCUCCUGUUACAGAAUAGUAUACUGCUUUGUUAAAGACAUCCAGACUGAUUCCUACUCAGGUUCUCUCUGUUUUCCAGAAAAUGGAACUGUGAUGGAAACAGUUGGGAGGAAAACUUGUAAGAGGAUGGCUGCAGAGGGACCAAAAUGGGCAAUGAGGCUCUCUGAGAAUCCUAGGGGUGGACAGCAUGAAUACCUUAUCAGACAGUCCCAUCUACCACGUCCUGUCAGUGUCCGCCAAGUCUAGGACCCUUAUGGUCAGUGACAAGAAAAGGAACUUGGUGGCCUGCUUCUUCCUUCGGAGCUGUCUCCAUCUGCCCAGAUAGAAGCCUAUAAACCCAAUCGAGCAAAGGUGUUUUCUGGAGAACACGUUCUCACACCGAGUGUGAGUGAGUGUGUGUGUACCUUCACAGGUGCUUCAGUAGGAGCUGUUUCCACACAGGCCGAGACUACAGGAAAGCUUUUGUAAAGGCGUGUCACACGUGUACUCCUGCUACUUCCAUGUCUCCUCACUGAGGGAAUGAGAUGUUAAUAACCAAGUGGGACACAGGCUUGGUGCAGAAGAUGGAUUUUCUGUAGGUAAACUAGGUUAGGAUGCAAGAUAAAGACUAAGAUAAAUGAUGUUGCAGAUACCUUUCCAAUCUGGCAGCUAGACCUUUCUAGGGUCUUAUUUAAUGAGCCAAUUUUUUCUGUUGUCCUCUAUGAGGCAGCCCUUGGUGCACAAGCCUUUGCUUUUCAGGCUGCCUGCAGAAGACUAAGUUCUCUCCCGUCUACACAGAACAGGGCCCACUGACUUGGUUAAUUUCUUUAAUAUUUUUGUCAAAAGGGCAAUGGGAGGGUUUGGGCCGUAAGCCACAGCUGCUGUUAGACUCCAACCAUACAAGAGUAGGUAUGAGUCACUGACAACUUCUACAGUAGUAAUUUGCAUUCCCAUGUAAGUCAGCAGCUAAGAAAAACAUUCCUUCAAAGCUAUAUGUUGUACAAAAAUUCUACCAGAACCUCAUAGGCAAAGCCAUUGCUAGCUCUGUCAUUCCGAAUACUCAGUCUAGCCACCAGGUUGCUGUGAUCACAGUUCCUUCCUCUACUCGGCUCCUGUGGAUUCUCAACGCUGUUCUCAGCAUCUUCCCCAGUUUCUACUCAGGUUCUCCUGCUCCUGUUUGUCCUUCACAUUUCUCGCUGUGUAACCAGUCAUAAACCUGCGCAGUCUGUCAGAGUUCCACACACAUGACCGUGAUUUCUCACUGUGUAACCAGUCAUAAACCUGCGCAGUCUGUCAGAGUUCCACACACAUGACCGUGACUCCUGAGAACUCUGUGUACUGACACUGUUCCUCUUAGCUUUCUCUGUACCGUCUCGUCAUCCCCGAGUGCCAUCUAAUUAAACCCUGUUCCUCUCCACGUUCUCAUCAGGUUUGGGGUUUGUUUUCUUCCUUUGGCUGUCCUAUUUCCAGACUCUUAUUUUUCUUGCUUGAGAGCUUAAAAAAUAUUAUGUUUAGGUUUCCACACAAAAGACAGUUAUCUUAAGAGUAGAAAAUAAGCCGGGCAGUGGUGGCGCACGCCUUUAAUCCCAGCACUUGGGAGACAUAUCUCUGAGUUCGAGGACAGCCAGGGCUACACAGAGAAACCCUGUCUC